GACAGAGGGUGCAAACGUUGUUCAGAAUUACUGGGCGUAAAGCGAGUGUAGGCGGUGUGGUAAGUCGGAUGUGAAAGCCCCCGGGCUCAACCCGGGAAGUGCAUUCGAUACUGCCACGCUAGAGUAUCGGAGAGGUUGGUGGAAUUCUCGGUGUAGAGGUGAAAUUCGUAGAUAUCGAGAGGAACACCAGUGGCGAAGGCGGCGACCUGGACGGACAUUGACGCUGAGACGCGAAAGCGUGGGGAGCAAACAGG
rnacentral:rRNA from 1 species